UACUUCAGGCUUAACUAUUUGUUUUUACUCGAAUUUUAUGGUUUCAUCACACUAGUAUAACCUGUGAAAUGUGGUCAACUCUUAUUUAUUAUAUUCAAUAACUAUCCGUAAAACCUACUCGGGCUUCAGAGGAUGAUAAUUCUUGGAAUCAGCUGUGUUAUGGCCCCUACUAUAUAUAUAUAUCAGGACUCUUUUAAGAAUGUACCUCAUAUUUUAUUGCCCUAAAAAUCACAGACCAAUCAAUAUAGCAUGAGCAGCAAUGGAAAAGUAACAUAUAACGACCUGGUUAGUCGAGUUCUUUUGCAACUAUCUGAUCUGGUUGUAAUAUUUGGACUAAAUUUGCCAAAUAUUCUGAUAACAAAUCUUGAACUUGUAAUGUUGACUGUAAUGGAGGAAGACAUGCUCUCAUGGAUUUUGUUGUCAUGACUUUGGACAUUGAGGUCUGCAAGCUAUUUGUCCAUUUUGGACUAUGGUCUGCAUGGUUUUUGGUUUUGUCCCCAUGUUAACUCAGGCAUGGGAAGUAGUGAGGUUUGGUAGACAAUGUAAGUUUCAUAAAUAAAAAAUCAUACUUU